rnacentral:sRNA from 1 species
UUCUGGCAGCUGCAGAGGGAGCUCUUUAGGCGGCCGCAGGGGGAGCUGGCUGUUCUGUCUCUGCUCCCCCUCCCCAGCGCACUGCUUAAUGAGACCGGGGCCGAAAUAUGACGUCAUAUUCCGGCCCCGGUCUCAUUAAGCAGUGCGCUGGGCAGGGGGAGCAGAGACAGAACAGCCAGCUCCCCCUGCGGCCGCCUAAAGAGCUCUCUCUGCGGCUGCAGGUGAGC